GUCUGAGGCAGCAACGCCGCGUGCGCGAUGAAGGCCUUCGGGUCGUAAAGCGCUUUUCGGGAGGAUGAGGAAGGACAGUACUCCCGGAAUAAGGAACGGCUAACUACGUGCCAGCAGCCGCGGUAAAACGUAGGUUCCGAGCGUUAUCCGGAUUUACUGGGCGUAAAGCGUGUUCAGGCGGCUGGACAAGUCGGGCAUGAAAUCUCUCGGCUCAACCGGGAGAGGCUGUCCGAAACUGUUCGGCUGGAGGGCAGUAGAGGGUGGUGGAAUUCCGGGUGUAGUGGUGAAAUGCGUAGAUAUCCGGAGGAACACCAGUGGCGAAAGCGGCCACCUGGACUGUACCUGACGCUCAAACACGAAAGCUAGGGGAGCGAACGGGAUUAGAAACCCCGGUAGUCCUAGCCAUAAACGAUGUUGACUAGGUGUCAGCGGUCUCAACCCCGUUGGUGCCGGAGCAAACGCACUAAGUCAACCGCCUGGGGACUACGGCCGCAAGGUUA
rnacentral:rRNA from 1 species